GACGAACGCUGGCGGCGUGCUUAACACAUGCAAGUCGAACGGAAAGGCCCUGCUUUUGUGGGGUGCUCGAGUGGCGAACGGGUGAGUAACACGUGAGUAACCUGCCCUUGACUUUGGGAUAACUUCAGGAAACUGGGGCUAAUACCGGAUAGGAGCUCCUGCUGCAUGGUGGGGGUUGGAAAGUUUCGGCGGUUGGGGAUGGACUCGCGGCUUAUCAGCUUGUUGGUGGGGUAGUGGCUUACCAAGGCUUUGACGGGUAGCCGGCCUGAGAGGGUGACCGGCCACAUGGGGACGGGGAUACGGCCCAGACUCCUACGGAGGCAGCAGUGGGGAAUAUUGCACAAUGGGCGGAAGCCUGAUGCAGCAACGCCGCGUGCGGGAUGACGGCCUUCGGGUUGUAAACCGCUUUCGCCUGUGACGAAGCGUGAGUGACGGUAAUGGGUAAAGAAGCACCGGCUAACUACGUG
rnacentral:rRNA from 1 species